GGGAGAGGCCGGCCGCAAACCCCCAAAUGUGAAACAGGUAUCGUGACUUCUGCUCGCUCAAGUCGAAGAGAAUCAUGUUUUUUUGGAGCUAUUAUCCCCAAGGAGUCUCGAAAAUGAUCUGCAACAUACAGUGAAACUGACACGCAGAAAACAUGCGUAUUUAGGAAGUAUUCCCGGUGUGGUUUGUACGUAGCCAAAACAUUCUGUUUCUCGCGGGGUAGAAAAGAAAGUCUGCACUCCAACUGCCUCCAUUUGGAGAACACGUUUAUUAAAAUGUCAUCUUCCGUGGCUGUGUUAAUGCGCGAUCCGGGAGACGUUUCCUAUUUGUACGCUACACCCCUGCUUGCGAAGGUCUACACCCUGUGGCACAACACCGGCGCUUGAGGAGGCCAGAUGGCUAAUUCUGAAAGAACUGUCUGCUCGAUAUCACCCAGGAAGGACUCAGACUAAUUCACCCCUCAUUGGGGCAUGUAUGUCGGAGAACAUCUCUUUAAACACAGUCACAUCCUGAAGGCUGCGCAUCGUCCUUGUUUCUUCCGAAGUUGACAAAAUUCAUUUGGCCUCGUUUAAAUGGAUUUUCUUUUCAGUAGCGUAUAAGCAGUCCUCAGUUCCAAAAGGGAAGCUCGACUGGGGACUGCCGGCUAAGGUCACAAGGGAGAAAACACUCUUGCCGUCUGUCUUCGGGGCAAUCGUGGCUAAGACAGACGGUGUCCAGGGUCCCUAGUAAGGAGAAUAUUCAUAGUGAUUAUAUACAAUCUGUUAGGAUCGUAGCAGCUUUCACUUGUGUGCCAAACUGUAGAGUAACACUUGGCAUCCACUUUUUCAGUUAAACCAGACAACACGAUUUCAAGAGGGCCAAUAGGCACUGAUCUACACUGACGACACUCCAAGAGCUCAGAGAGGUUAAUCAACGUGCCAAGUUCACACGACGGGUCUAUGGAAGAGGCAGAACUCAAACCGGAACGGACCUGCACGCAAAGCUUUGUUCUUAAACACGGUGCUGGCCUGCCCCUUGCUCCGCUACCUGUAUUCACACUUGGCUGACUUUGCGGUCACCCUUUCUUCUGUCCACUCUGGCCUGCCCAACACAUAACCCUGCGCUCCAGAAGGGAGGCAGUGUACCCCUGGUCAUUAAGAGUUGACGGGCUGGGCUCAGAAUGCCUGGGUUUGAAACCUGGCUCCGUCAUUUACCUACGGGGCGACCCUGGGCGUGCUUCCCAGCCUGUGAAUGGGAAUGUGGGAGAUUUCCACCUGAUACGGUUGCUGUAAAAAUAAAAUGGGCGAAAAUAUUUCAAUGUAGGAUCGUUUGGGGUUCCUAGUGCCACCACGCAGUUAAUGUGAGGGAGGGAAAGCAGGCAGGGAAAGAGGGAGUGGGAGGAAAAGAAGAAAAAAGAAACGAGAAGAGAGGAGGAAAGGACAGAGGAGAGGAGAGAGAAGGAGGAGAAAAGAAAAGAAAGGGAGGAAAAGGGAGACAGGUUGGAAGACAGAAAAGAAAGAACAGGGGAAAGAGAGCAAGGAAGGAAAGAGGAAAGAAAAAGAAAGCGAGGUGAGGCCGAAAGGAAAGAAAGAAGGAAAGAGAAAAAGGGAGAGAGAGAGAGAAAGGGAAAAGAAAUGAACGUCAAAGGAAGGGGACGUGUUCUACGCACUGGGUCACCACGGAAGGAGGGCCAUUACCCACAGGCGAUGGUGGAGCGAGGGACGAGCAUCUCAAGGCCUCAGACAAGCCUAGUGGGCAGCCCCAGGGCCUCUCCCACUGUUGACCGACUCAACACCCUUAGCGUUAACCCUCUUCCUGCACAGCCUCGUCCCCCGCAAGCUCCCGAGGCGGUGCCAACGGCUUCCCAGCCUCGCCGUCCUGCGGGGGUGAAACCGUCCUGGCCCAGCCUUCUCUGCGCGGGUCGGGUCACGUGACCACCCCCCGAGCCAAUCACCAAGACCCAAGGCAUACCGCCUGCCGAUCGGCUUUCUGGCCUCACGCGCUUCACCCUUGCUCAGGAACCGAGUCCCACGGACUGCAAAGUGGAAGAGGGAACGAUUCCGUGGAGGGACUUGGGGUGCAGUUGCCCAGAGCAGAAUGCACGUGGGAGCGGCAAGUUGCUGUCUGCCGCGGGCGAAACUUGCCUGCUGAGAGCGUACCCACCCCCCCACCCCGGUCCUUGACGAUCCCUUGUUUCGGUGUCGUUGGUGUGGUUCCGGGACUUGGGCGCUUGGGUUUGACUCUUGGCUUCAUCGCUGACUAGCUGUGCGACCCUGGACGGGCUGAUCCACCUGUCUCUGCUUCAGUUUCCCUUGUGAAUGGGGUCAGCAAUCGAUCUUCCUCACCGAUGGGCAAGUACUACCGUGUUCGGCCUAAUGUGAACGCGUACUCGGCACCCAACACAUUUUCGCCGUUGGAUAUUCGAAGAUGAUUUGAGACGAGAAGAAGAGAAGGUCCCCUAGUUAGAAGUGUAGGACAGAGGGACUGUAACACCCGUUAGCCUUGCAGACAGUCCGGCCCGCUGCACGUUUGGGACGGAAAUCCGGUGGAGACGGCUCAGAGGAGAAAGAUGCCCACUGAAAUGCUUAGGCUCCUCGUCUCCCAGAAACCAUUAAGGCGUCUCAUUUGCAGUUUGUCUACAAUCUUUUGGGCUCAUUGAAGCUUCCAGGUAGUGUCAUCUGUGAAUGCUAAUAAAUCCCGUAUGUUUGUUUUCCUA